GGGGGUAUAGCUCAGUAGGAGAGCGUGUGCUUGGCAUGCACGACAUCCUGGGUUCAAUCCCCAGUAUCUCCG
rnacentral:tRNA from 1 species